GUGGCGCGAGCGGCGGCCGUUCGUCGUGUCGGGGAACACGAGACAGCGGACGGCCAAUGGGCCCGCGCUCCGCCCGGUGGGGCGAUGCGGCGUCACGGCCGGUCGUCAUGGUGACGCGGCCUUAGUCAGAGCCGCCCGCCCGAAGCCUGAGGUCUCGGUGAGGCUUCGUAUAUCCUUGUGGUAAGGAUGUAUAUUACAAUCAAAGAGCACAGGAAAAGGUCUUCAUAAUACAAGAAUAUGAACAUCGCUGGAUAUGUCAGUGUUUAUCAUCUAUUCCCAAUUGCCCCUGAAGUGAGAAGGCAGAUAAGAGUCAACCUCUUGCCACAAUAGAUAAGAACAGUGGAUUUUCUUCCCUAAAGCACAUUGGUGAAGCAGGUGGGUUUUUCUGACAAUCCAAACAUUUUAUGAUUAAUGUUACUGAAACUAGCUUUUGUUUUAGAUAUUUAAAAUUUCCUUAUUUAAUUAAACUUAUAUUCCCCAGUUGCCAAUUUGCGAUUUAAA